UCAGACCUGUGCUCUUCCGAUGUGUUGGAAAAUUCCUUGAGUCGGAGAUGUCGAAAAAAGGAUUCUAGGUCACCCACAGAACGUAUCAUGUUCGUGGGGGUGGAGGGACAAAAGGAGAGGCCCCGAGAUAGGACAG